ACAUGCAGUCGAACGAGAACGGAUUAUAGCUUGCUAUAAUUGUCAGCUAAGUGGCGCACGGGUGAGUAAUGUAUAGAUAACCUGCCCUUAAGAAAGGAAUAACAGUUGGAAACGACUGCUAAUGCCCUAUAUGCCUUUAAUACAUAAGUAUGCAAGGGAAACGCUUUAGUGCUUAAGGAUGGGUCUGUAUGGUAUCAGCUUGUUGGUGAGGUAAUGGCUCACCAAGGCUAUGACGCCUAACUGGUUUGAGAGGAUGAUCAGUCACACUGGAACUGAGACACGGUCCAGACUCCUACGGGAGGCAGCAGUGGGGAAUAUUGCACAAUGGACGAAAGUCUGAUGCAGCAACGCCGCGUGGAGGAUGACACAUUUCGGUGCGUAAACUCCUUUUAUAUAGGAAGAUAAUGACGGUACUAUAUGAAUAAGCACCGGCUAACUCCGUGCCAGCAGCCGCGGUAAUACGGAGGGUGCAAGCGUUACUCGGAAUCACUGGGCGUAAAGAGCGUGUAGGCGGGUAUAUAAGUCAGAAGUGAAAUCCAAUAGCUCAACUAUUGAACUGCUUUUGAAACUGUAUACCUAGAAUGUGGGAGAGGUAGAUGGAAUUUCUGGUGUAGGGGUAAAAUCCGUAGAGAUCAGAAGGAAUACCGAUUGCGAAGGCGAUCUACUGGAACAUUAUUGACGCUGAGACGCGAAAGCGUGGGGAGCAAACAGGAUUAGAUACCCUGGUAGUCCACGCCCUAAACGAUGUACACUAGUUGUUGUGAGGCUCGACCUUGCAGU
rnacentral:rRNA from 1 species